AUGCGGCGGAGUUGGGCUUUGAGGCAGCGCGUUUCGGAGGCCCGGUUCCCCGGGAGGCGGUGGCUGGUGGCUGGCCUGGGGAACCAUGGAAUGCCUGGCACACGGCACAGCGUGGGUAUGGCGGUGCUGGGGCAAAUAGCGCGGCGACUGGGAGUGGCGGAGAGCUGGGCUCGUGACGCCCGCUGCGCUGCUGACCUUGCCCUGGCCCCGCUCGGGGAUGCCCAGUUGGUAUUGCUCCGGCCACGGCGCCUCAUGAACGUCAAUGGGCGCAGCGUGGCCCAAGCCGCGGAGCUGUUUGGGCUGGCUGCGGAGGAGAUCUAUCUGGUGCACGAUGAACUUGACAAACCCCUGGGGAAGCUGGCUCUGAAGCUGGGAGGCAGUGCAAGAGGCCACAAUGGAGUCCGGUCCUGCAUUAGCUGUCUGAACUCCAGUGCAAUGCCGAGGCUGCGGGUAGGCAUCGGGCGCCCCACACACCCUAGUAUGAUACAGGCCCACGUCCUGGGCUGCUUCUCCCCUGAGGAGCAGGAGCUGCUGUCUCCAUUGCUGGAUCAGGCCACCGACCUGCUUCUGGACCACAUCCGUGCUCGAAGCCAGGAGUCACCAUUGGGCCUCUGACCUCUGACACCAGUGGACAUAUCUACCUGUUUGACUGCCUGCCGGUACCCUGAAGCCCAGACACAGCCACAGAACUGCCAUGACACAUGUAGUACCCACUGUUUAUGUAACUUCUGGGUUGCCCCAGGUCACUUGCAGGUUGAAGGAGGGACUGUGGCCACAACAGUCUAUGUCUGCGCUGGCUUGGUCUCUCCGUGCGCUACUUAUGGUGUAGGAAAGGUUUAGGAAGGCUGAACUUUCUGAAUCUUUUGAGAGCGCCAGAUGGGGAGGUCUGCAAGAUUAAAAGAUACUUGCUUGAAAUCUGAAGCUUCCUUGGGUGGGUGGGGUAACCUCCUAACCCAUUCCUUACCAGUGGGGUUGAGAAAAAGGGUCUAGCAAACCCUCUCCCAAGGGUAACAUAGGUAUGCCUUAGCCUGUUUUUGUCAGGCCAUUUUAUAGGUAGGGAGGAUCAGAGAGGUCCCUGAAGCCACCCAACUAUGCAUGGACAAACUAGGGCCAGCUGUCAGCUUGCUGUCCCCAGGGCCCCUGGCACUCCUACCUCAUUAGUGUUCUGUAACUGGCAGAUCCCCAUUCGGGUGACAUAUGAGAGAGCCCUGAGGUCCUGGGGGUUGGGUGGGAUAUGGACCCGGCGAGGCACCAGCCCGAGAUCCCCAGGCUUGUAGGUUGUGAUGCCUGUGAGCUGCUGCAUCAGAGAAGCAGCAGAGGUCCUGGAUACCUGGGUGCUGAGUCGGGUGUGGGAGGAACCCUGGGUCAUCACCUCCAUCUCCACAAGAGGAGGCUGAGGUUCUGGGAGAGAAUGGAGAGUCCGGGUCUGCUGAGGCGCCCCAGGGUACCUGCUCACCUCUCUUUGGUUGUGCCCUGCGGCUGUUUUCCCUGGUGGCAGCUCAUAGCCAGCUGUGGUUCUGAAGCCACAGCUGAUGUGAGCAGAGCCAGCAACUGCUGCUGCAGCUCCUUGUGCUGCAGCUGGAGCACUACGUCAAAGUCACCGUCCUCUGCAUCUGUCCGCAUCUGUUGGUGCCAUGUGUGAUGGGUUACAUACCAGUGGCCUGGACACCCACCCUUCCCAAGUGCCGGGAUGAAAGGUAUGCGCUGCCGCCACACCGCCUUGUUAUUUAAGAUGCUAAGUUGCCCACGCUGGCCUUGAACUCAAUCAGUAGCCCCGGUCAGGUCUGGAAUUUGGAUCCUGCCUCAGCCUCCUCAGUAGCUGGUGUGAUCAGAACCAACUCUUGAGUGGAUCUUUGAGGUCCAGAAUCAGAAAAGGAGUCUGGCCGUAUGCCUCUCAGGAAAGAACUCUCUUGAGCUUGACCCCAGUGGCCUCUUGGUGUCUCCCGUGCUUGCUCACCUGCACAAUGUCCUGUAGGAGGGAGGUGGCCUGGGCCAGGACUGUUUCCAGCCUGGCCCGAACCUUCUGUUCCUCAGUCAGCUUUUUUUGUAGCUGAUUCACCUCUGCCUGCUGUUCCCUCAGCUGCUGUUCGAGCUGGUUUUUCUCACUCCUAGGCCAGGACAAGAUAAAGCCCACUGCUUGCCCCAUCUCCCAGCUCUGGCCGGCACCACCUCUUGCUGGGGCCCUGCCUGUUCUGUGCAGCCCAUCUAAAUCCUGGCUUCAGCCUGUCUGAUGGACCAACCCCUGAGGCUAUGUAGACAGGGAAACUCCCUGGCCGGCUUCCACCCAGCUCUGGCUCACCUCAGGGUCUGGUUGCCCUUCUGCAGCUUCUGGAAGUUCUGCUCCAGUUCGGCCAGCAGGAGGCGAAGCCGCUCUGCCUCCUCUGUGACCUGCCUCUGCUGACGGCACUUCUCUGACAGCAUGAGGAUGACCUGCAUCCGUGGGCAGGUGUCCAUGUGCAGACUUAGGGUUGGACCCCGCCCACCCUUCCUCUCUGCUGGAGAUACAGGCAGUACCACCUCUGGAUAACAGCUAGGCGGGAAGGUGGCCUCCCCACAAGGAAAGCCUGGGCCCUCACUGCAAACCCUCCCCCACCACACCUCAUGACUUGGCUCUGGCAUGGGGACCACUGUCAUUUCACAUGAGGAGGGCGUGUGGUCACACCUUCUUAUGGCCUCUGUUGUUUCUGGCCAUGAUCUCUUGGGUGUUCUCCAGGAGCUCCACCUGUUGGUACAGUUUAUCAUGGACGCCCUUGAGCUGCUCAUUCUCCUGUAGCAGCUGCACACCUUGCUGAGACACCCAGGACAGCUGCAAAGUCACGUUGUUGUUCUCCAGGAUGGCCCGCCUGGUCGUCUCCCACAUCUGGUUAGUGGCCACCUUGCGGAACUCAGUGGCCACUAGGUUCACACGCUGGAUGAUCUCUUUCCUUAGCCUGACCAGGAGGGUGGCAUUGGAAGGAAGUCAAGCAGAUGGGUAUGUCUUGGAACCCCUUUUUUUGGGUGGGGCCAAGAGUACCUAGGCUUUUCCUCAGAGAAUCUCUGGGCCCUUGGAAUUUGAACCAUUGAAACACAUUCUUAAUAAAUUCAAUUAAAGUAAUACGUGAGACGAAAGUAAUGUUCAGUGCCAGCCUGGGGAACUGGCUGGGAGCUAACUCCUUCCUUCCUUCCCUCCCCCACUAAAUCCCAAUCAGGGUUUGGGGGACAGUCCAUGAGCACUUCUAGGAAGUGAGGAGGAAUGUGGAGACUGGUACGGGUGCCCCCAGCAGGUCCCCCAGCCCACCCACCUGUCCUUGUCCAGCACAGACUUCUUCUCCAGGUUGUACACGUAGUCCUUGUAUUCACUCUCCUGCUUUCUCAGCUGCUCCUCUAGCAUCAAGUACUUGUCUGUGAGCUCCUCUUUCUGCAGCCGAAAUUCUUCCAGGGCAGCCAGCUUUCCCCCUGCCCAUCAGGGGCCACAAGGCUGGUGAGGAGCUGCCCCUGAGAACUGCAUUCUGGUGACAGACAGGACACAGUGGCUGGCUGAAGUCUUCCAGGAGUGAGUGUUAUGAAACAUGGCAUCGUCCUGAGCCUCCGCUUCCUCGCCUGUAAAGUGGCAGGGACACCUAACACAGGCCUAGGAGAGGCCUGGCAUGAUUGUGACGCUGUCUUCACUGGUCUGCCUCUAAGGCACGUCUUGUCGGAGCUGGGUGGGAUGUGCUACAGGACUGUCCUCCAAGCCCAACUGCCACCUUCUUCAUGAGUGGGCCUGCUUGCAAAGAUUAUUUCAGCUGAGCUCAUUGACUGUUGACCCUCCCUCAAAGGAGAGGAUGGGAGGGUCACUGGACCCACCUGUGCAUCCAGCCACCCCUCUCAAGCAGCCAUAUGCAAUUCUGCCCUAACUGCACAUGACCUCAGCAAGG